GACGAACGCUGGCGGCGUGCCUAAUACAUGCAAGUUGAGCGCUGAAGGUUGGUACCUGUACCAACUGGAUGAGCAGCGAACGGGUGAGUAACGCGUGGGGAAUCUGCCUUUGAGCGGGGGACAACAUUUGGAAACGAAUGCUAAUACCGCAUAAAAACUUUAAACACAAGUUUUAAGUUUGAAAGAUGCAAUUGCAUCACUCAAAGAUGAUCCCGCGUUGUAUUAGCUAGUUGGUGAGGUAAAGGCUCACCAAGGCGAUGAUACAUAGCCGACCUGAGAGGGUGAUCGGCCACAUUGGGACUGAGACACGGCCCAAACUCCUACGGGAGGCAGCAGCAGGGAAUCUUCGGCAAUGGACGAAAGUCUGACCGAGCAACGCCGCGUGAGUGAAGAAGGUUUUCGGAUCGUAAAACUCUGUUGGUAGAGAAGAACGUUGGUGAGAGUGGAAAGCUCAUCAAGUGACGGUAACUACCCAGAAAGGGACGGCUAACUACGUG
rnacentral:rRNA from 1 species